rnacentral:lncRNA from 1 species
CCGAGUCUGGAAGGCUGGGCAGAGGCUGCGACGGGGACGAGAUGGGAAGAGACCGGGUCUGGCCAAAGUGCUCUGAAUCCAGAAGGCCUUCCUCAUUCUUUUAACAAAAACUUACUGGGACCUCGGUAUGUGUCAGCCCCUGAUUGUCAAGCUGAGGAUAUCAAGCAUCAGUCUUUUCCAGUGAGUCAACUCUUCGCAUGAGGUGGCCAAAGGAUUGGAGUUUCAGCUUUAGCAUCAGUCCUUCCAAUGAACACCCAGGAUCGAUCUCCUCUAGAAUGGACUGGUUGGAUAUCCUUGCCGUCCAAGGGACUCUCAAGAGUCUUCUCCAGCACCACAGUUCAAAAGCAUCAAUUCUUCGGCGAUCAGCUUUCUUCACGUAUAUUGUCACCCUGCUUAUUUAACUUAUAUGCAGAGUACUUCAGAAUAGAUGAGGAAAUGAGUUUCGAACUACGGGGGAGUUACUUCCUCAAAAUCACCUACUAG